rnacentral:rRNA from 1 species
GACGAACGCUGGCGGCGUGCCUAAUACAUGCAAGUCGAGCGAAGUUUUUCUGGUGUUUGCCCUUGCACAACUUAGCGGCGAGCGGGUGAGACAUAAGUAAAGAACCUGUCUCCUAGUGUGGGACUCAUAUUGGAAAGGAUAACUCAUAAUAGAUACCAGUAUUUCUCGCGUGUGAGAGGUUUAAAAGUUGGUUUUGGUAACACUUUGCGGUGUCUUUGCGGUGCAUUAGCUUGUUGGGGGGGUAAAGGUCUACCAAGGCGGCGAUGUGUAGGCGACCUGAGAGGGGGAUCGGCCACACUGGGACUGAGACACGGCCCAGACGCCUACGGGAGGCAGCAGUAGGGAAUCUUCCGCAAUGGGCGGAAGCCUGACGGAGCAACGCCGCGUGAGUGAAGAAGGAGUUCGGUUCGUAAAGCUCUGUUGUUAGGGAAGAACGGAUAUGUAAUAACAAGACACGUAAGAGACGGUACCUAGCCAGAAAGCCACGGCUAACUACGUG